rnacentral:sRNA from 1 species
UGUCUACUAGCUGGCAACAAGGGAGCAGGAAGCCUCAUGAUCUACAGGCGCUGUCCUACUUGUGGUCACACAAAAAGUACGUGGAGAUGUUUGUCGUGGUCAACAACCAGCGGUUCCAGAUGUGGGGCAGUAACGUCAAUGAGACGGUCCAGACAGUAGUGGAUGUCAUUGCUCUGGCCAACAGCUUCACUAGGGGAAUAAACACAGAGGUGGUGCUGGCUGGAAUGGAGAUUUGGACCGAGGGGGACCUAAUAGAUGUCACAGUGGACUUGCAAAUCACACUCAGGAAUUUCAAUCACUGGAGACAAGAGAUGCUCUUCCAUCGCGCAAAACACGAUGUUGCCCACAUGAUCGUUGGGCAUCACCCUGGACAGAAUAUGGGCCAGGCCUUUCUCAGUGGUGCCUGCUCAAGCGGUUUUGUGGCAGCUGUUGAAUCCUUCCAUCAUGAAGAUGCGCUGUUGUUUGCAGCCCUGAUGGCCCAUGAGCUCGGGCACAACCUGGGUAUUCAGCACGACCACUCGGCCUGCUUUUGUAAAGAUAAGCACUUUUGCCUCAUGCAUGAAAAUAUCACAAAAGAAAGUGGCUUCAGCAACUGCAGCUCUGACUACUACUACCAGUUCCUUCGAGAACACAAAGGGGCCUGCCUAUUUAACAAGCCAUGGCCCAGGGGCCGCAAGCGUAGGGAUUCUGCCUGUGGAAAUGGUGUGGUGGAGGACACAGAGCAGUGUGACUGUGGUUCUGCCUGUCACCUCGACCCAUGCUGUGAUGCCACAUGUACUCUGAAGGAGAAUGUUGAGUGCAGCCAUGGCCUCUGCUGUCUGGGCUGCACUUUCAGAAGGAAGGGGUUUUUAUGCCGUCCUACUCAGGAUGAUUGUGACCUCCCAGAAUAUUGUGACGGUAGCUCUGCAGAAUGCCCUGCAGACAGCUACAAGCAAGAUGGCACGUUGUAUGAUAGAAUUCACUAUUGCUCUGGGGGUCAGUGUAAGAACCCUGAUAACCAAUGUGUGAAUAUAUAUGGGUACCCUGCAAGAUCUGCCCCGGAAGACUGUUACAUUUCAAUAAAUACCAGAGGAGACCGGUUUGGAAACUGUGGCCGUCCCACUGAGGAUCAGCAAACAUAUGUUAUAUGUUCAGGUGAUAAUGUAUUUUGUGGGAAACUCAUAUGUACAGGUGUUCAAUCCUUACCACGAGUCAAAGCUCAACAUACAGUGAUCCAGGUCCCUCAUGACAAUGACUGGUGCUGGAGCAUGGAUGCCCAUAACAUUACUGAUAUCCCUGAUGAUGGAGAUGUGCGCGUCGGCACUUCUUGUGCCCCAAACAAAGUCUGCAUGGAUCACUCCUGUGUUCAUCACUCCAUACUCCUGUAUGACUGCAGAACAGAGGAAUCGUGUCAUGGGAAAGGUGUUUGUAACAAUUUAAGGCACUGCCAUUGUGAGUUUGGUUUUGCUCCUCCUGACUGCAAAAAUCCAGGAAAUGGAGGCAGUGUGGACAGUGGUCCCCCAGGAAUGCAA